AGUGAACGCUGGCGGUAGGCCUAACACAUGCAAGUCGAACGACAGCACAGUAAGAGCUUGCUCCUACGGGUGGCGAGUAGAGGACAGGUGCGGACUACAUCGGAAUCUACUUUUACGUGGGGGAUAACGUAGGGAAACUUACGCUAAAACCGCAUUAGACCUACGGGUGAAAGCAGGGGAUCUUCGGACCUUGCGCGAUUGAUUGAGCCGAUGUCGGAUUAGCUAGUUUGCGGGGCAAAGGCGCACCAAGGAGACGAUCCUUAGCUGGUCUGAGAGGAUGAACAGCCACACUGGAACUGAGAUACGGUCCAGACUCCUACGGGGGGCAGCAGUGGGGAAUAUUGGACGAGGGGCGCAAGCCGGAUCCAGCCAUACCGCGUAGGUGAAGAUGGCGUUCGGGUUGUAAAGCCCUUUUGUUGGGAAAGAAGAGCAGCAGGUUAAUACCCCGCUGUUCUGACGGUACCCAAAGAAUAAGCACCGGCUAACUUCGUG
rnacentral:rRNA from 1 species